rnacentral:lncRNA from 1 species
ACGAUAUUGGUACUCCAGAGUUGAGAAGUAUAAAUGUUUCCUCUCGGCUUCCAUCGAGUGUCGAUGGUUGGCUUCCAUUGAAUGUCAAUGGAUGAUGAAUGACAGAGGUCGUCAUGACACAAUCUGGUGUCCGGAUCUUCCCUGAAGCGAAGAUUCGGGUCGGGAAAGUCUAUCACAGAGAAUCAUGCCUUUGAUGAUAGCCGAAUUGAGGUAAUCCAAAUUACCUCUUUUUGUUCUUUUAUACAAAUUUAUUCUAUAUUAUCUGAAUAUGCUCUACUACUUUUGUGGAUUUCUAUUUAGAUAGGGAUUAGAUUAGAAGUUUUUCUUUUUUACGAGUGAAUUGGCUGAAAAAGAUUAAAAACAGUUUGAGACUUUAUUGCAUUGAUACUAGGCACAAAUGAGAUAUAUAUAUAUAUCAAGCGACAACAUCUAAUAAUAGAGAGAAUUGGUUAACCUGGCUGGUUUCUUGUGUUCUGUUUUGAGUCUUACACAUUCAAUAUCUUACUGUGGUUACUUGCAGAAGACUUAUAUAUCUAAAAGGAAACAUAAAGAACUUGACACCAUGUUACUACACAUUUACGUAAGAGUUUAAGAAAUCUAAAAGAAUGGUAUCCUUUUUAUAGCUUAAGAAUUCUAUUCAAUGCUAAGAGUUUAGUAAACCAAAUUAAAAACAUAAGCAUAACAUUUUUCUGUUUACGGAAAUAAUUAGUGAACCGGAUUAAACCCGGAAUUAAGUUGUGUCUUUAAAACUUCAAGUAUUUAUUAAAAAGGGAUUAGGUCACCAAUACUCACUCAGCAAAAUGGUAGUAACUCAUCAUAAUGAUGGAGUCUCACCAGGGUUCGAGUAACUAUAUUGGUAUUUAGAAGAUUAAUCUCCCUCUGGCUGGGCAGCUGUAUGUUGUCUAGUCUCGGGAUCUUCCCUGAAAUGAAGAUUUGUUAUUUAGUCUAUCACAUUGACUAAUGUCUUUGGUGUAGCCAAAUUGAGGUAAUCUUAAUUACCUCUUUUUUUAAAAUUAAUGGAAGGCGACUUUAAGGGUGUAAGCACAACCGCGACUGAUUCAACCUUCCCCCAAGUCCCUUCCUUUCUUUCCAAAGCAAUAUAUAAGUACCAAAUCUUCCCAUCUUACUUUUACUAAUCCGACUCUGAUCAGUGCCAAAAAUCACCAGCUCUCUACCAAAAUUCACCAUUUUAGACUCCUUGAGAAGCACGUUAGCCGGAAAACCUUGUAAAUCCCUCAAGGGUUUCCAAUGCUUCUCCUUUGGAUCAUACACGAUUAUUGGAUAACACACUCUUGACUCAUGAAGACUAACAGAAAACAAGACACUCUUAAUCACACAAGACGGCUCUUGCCUCAGAUCACUCAACGUAGAUUUUUGGAAUUGAAAACCGUACUUAGGACUGAAUUUAUCAUGGGUUUGUUGGUUAAAAAUGAGAUGAGAGGAGCUUUAAACCCUAGGUCAUGAAACUGAAUCAAUAAGUUAACUGAUGAAGCUUGAAACCGAAGAGAUCGUGGUCUUGUGGGAGUCGAUGUGGCAGCAUGACAAAGUUUUUCCUUCUAGAUUAGUUGACGUGACUUCUCCUAUGAGCUUUUUUAUUACUGGACACAUGGAAAAACCUCACAUAGUCAAUUUUAUUAGUAGUAAAUUGUAUUCAUGGUCGAACCUUGUUUAUGUAUGAAUAAUUUUCUCACAUAAGCAUAACUUGCUCUUGGUUGGCUUUGUUCUGAUUUUUUAACGAACCGGAUUAAACCAUGUAUUUAGUUAUAUGUUAGAAUGGUUUAAGUAUUGAUUAAUUAGCGAGAAGGUUACCAAUUCCGGCCCAGUAAAGUGGUAGUGACUCAGCAUGAUAAGAGAGUCUCACCAGGGUUCGAGUAGCGAUAUUGGUAGCCCGUAUUCGUAACACCGUAAUCGCAACAAGGUACAAGGACAAGCAACCUAUAGCAAUAUUGGUAGUCCAACAAUAAUAACUUGUAUAUCCCAGAUAAUCAUGCCUUUGGUGGUAGCCAAGUUGAGGUAAUCUAAAUUACUUCUUUUUUUUUAAUCUUAAAAUCAUGCAGCGAACCUUGACACCGAGGGCCUCAAAGAUGGAGGUGGAGCCACGGAGUCACUUUUGAGAGACUCAAUCAACUAGGUUCUUGAUCGAGACCAGUUUCCAAAAACAGCCCUUAUCAUCAAAACCCGUGACUUUUGGUAAAUGUAAUGCGUACCACAAGAGAAACUUAUAUCUUAAGGUUCGUGGUGUGGAUAUGAACCCAGUGGAGCAUUCUCAUGGAGGAGGUAGCCAUCAGCAUAGAUCACGCCAGUACGUACAGUUAGGCGUGAUGCACCUGGUGGAUAAAAGGUUGGUCUUAUCGCUGCUAGGAGGACUGGUCGUCUCAGAGGUCAAGCUGCUACAACCGCCAAGGUCGACUAGGGUUGUUAAACAUAAACUUCUUUACUUUUUUAAAAAAAGAUUUAAUUCAUAGUACCAAACUUGAAUACAAUCUAGACUAUCCAUAGAAUCGCAAGAAAGAGAGAUAGAAACAUGGAACUUUUGAAGACCGUUACAAAAUGAAGUUGCUCAUAUUCUAGAAGCAAAAUGGGUCUUGUUAAGUCAGAAGAAUGUGAUAACUUCCAGAAGAAUCUAUAUAUCCAAAAGCGUUGGCCAUAUUAUUGAAACUGCCUUCCGAAAUAAAGAUAUCAGUCAAAAGCAAAGGUUGCUUGGGCUUCAGUUUGUCUGCCUAAAGCUGAAGGAGGUUUGGGUCUGCGAAGGCUCUCGGUCUGGAACAACAAUCUGUUGUAGGACCUUAAUAUUUCAAUAAGGGCACAAUCUAAUAUUUGUAAAACAAAAAACAUAGAAGAACGGAGAUUGACGGUGAUAAACAGAGUCGAGAACGUUGAUGAUCUCUCUCUUUAACUCAAAAAUCGCCCCGUAGUGUGCCGGUUUGAUGACAAUUAGAGUCCCAGGAUAAAACUGUUUCUUCUUUUGAUUGCAACACUCAAAUCAAAAGCUAAACGAACACUAAUCUUGUGUUGUACUCUCAGACACAAACAAAAAACAAGAAAAGAGAAGAGAAGGAUUUUUUAUGCUUUGAUCGAUGAUCCGAAUGAGAAGACAAACGCUUGACUUUAUACUAAAAGCUCAACGUCUAUGCCAUAAAUAGGAGGAUACGUGAGUUAUGAGAAUUUGAUUCUCUAACGUCAAUGUCGUAAAUUGAUUCCAACCUUAAUUCAUGAGACUUAAUUAGGUUGUUACAAAAUCAAUCAAGGAGAUAUUUCUUUGAAUUAGUCAACAACAUAAUUCAAUAUGGAUUAGGACAAACAAGAAUAAACUAAUGGGUUACAAGCCCAUAUUAUUAAUCUCAAAUCCCAAAUCCAACCCAUAUGUGUUUGGGUUUCUCCUUUGACCUCCAAAGUGGUCCAAUUAACAUUUAGUUAAAAUUCCAAGCUUAGCAAGCUAACCACUUUGGACCUCCAUUUCUCAUUCAAACGAACUCCGUUUUUGACAUUCCAAUACACCACCACGUAGUGCUCGCAGCAACGAUUCCAUCGUGCCCAAGAACCGGUCAUUCCGAUGAACGUCUUCACCGGAAACUCCACCGUAACAAUGGUCAAAACCAUUUUGUCAAAAACAAGUUCCAACAUCUGUGUCUACGGCUCAUUUGGUUGCUGUUCUCUAGCAGUGGUUCUCUUUGGGUUGCUUGGCACAAUUAUCAUCAGAAGCUCUCAGAAACUAGUUUUUGGAGUCUAAAAGGACGAAAUAGUGACUCUUGGCUGUGGAAAUCUCUGUUAAAGCUGAGGCAUUUGGCUUCUCAAUUCAUCAAAUGCAAGGUCGGAAAUGGUAGAAAGGCUUGGUUUUGGUAUGACAGUUGGACUCCAUUAGGCCCUUUAAUCAAUCUGUUUGGCGAUCAAGGUCCUAGAACCACAAGAAUUCCACUCUCAGCCAAAGUGGGGGACGCUUGUAAUGCUUUUGGGUGGAAGAUGGCUGCUCCAAGGUCUGAUCAGGCUGAAUCCCUCCAAAUCCAUUUGUCUUCUAAGCAGCUGCCCACUAGUUCCUCAGAGGAUGAUGUAUUUGAGUGGGAAAUUGAUGGUAAAUCAAGCAUUGGAUUUUCCUCUUCUAAAACUUGGGAGAAGUUAAGGCCCAGAGAAUCAGAAAAAAUAUGGGCGCCUCUCAUCUGGUUCAAAGGAAACACUCCAAGGUUUGCUUUCAACUUCUGGAUUACUAACCUGGACAGACUUCCUACUAUGUCUAGGCUUGCUUCCUGGGGUCUGCCUGUGUCCACAGUUUGUAGCUUAUGCUCCAGUCCUGUCGAAAACAGAGAUCAUUUGUUUCUUCUUUGUAGUUUUACUCGAGUGCUAUGGGACAAAAUUUGGCUCAGACUCGGGCAGCAAGCUGUUUAUUUCAGCGACUGGACAUCCUUGCUGGCUUGGGUAAAGGGACAAAGCAGUUCUGUUCCACGAACCCUUAGGCUUCUGAUUAUCCACACCUUGGUCUAUAUGGUUUGGAAACAAAGAAAUAAUAUCGUUCAUAAUCAGAUCACCAUCUCUCCUAUUGCCAUCUUCAGAGUUAUCGACCGUCAGAUCAUAAACACUAUCACUGCUAGAAGUUUAGGAAUCUUAUGGCGUUAUGGCUACACUAAUGGAUCCAAGGUUUUUCCUUUCUGAGAAUUAGUAUUUUUCGUAUUGGGCUUUGUUUUUUCCUUCUUUUUUUUUGGCAAAGCUUAAUUUCUUAGGUCUUAUAUCUCUUGUAACACCUAUCUUUCAUUUAUAUUUAGCAAAAAAAAAAAAAAAAAAAAAAAAAACACUGUUUUGUACAUAUCAACUAGUCUUUAUAUUUCGUCAAAUUUGAUAUUGUAGAAGUGAGGGUGUUAAGUUUUACUCAUGCAUAAAAGCCACAAACACCGGUUAACUAAAUCGGUUUGUUCAUCUACAGAUCCCUAAACCAAGAUUUCAUAUUUGCUCAUAUCAUAGAAGCACAUGCCUGAUUGCGAUCACUUGCAGAAGAACAUAAAUCCAAAAGCAAACAGAAAGACCUUGACUAAAACCUUAAAAUAUACAGUAUAUCCUUUGUUUCUUGUGUUCUGUUUUCAGUCUUACUCUUUCAAUAUCUGACUGUGAUUACUUGCAGAGGAAUUAAAUAUUUAAAAGCAAACAGAAAGAACUUGACACCAUGCGAUGUUACUUCACAUUUACGUAAUUGUUUAAGAAUUCUAUUCAAUGCUACUUCCGUAAGAGUUUAGUAAACCAAACUGAAAACAUAAGCGUAACAUUUCUCUGGUUAUGGAAAUAUUUAGUGAACCGGAUUAAACCCGGAAUUAAGCUGUGCGUUUAAAAUGUUAAGUACUAAUUAGACAGAGGAAAAGUCACCAAAACUCAACCAGCAAAGUGGUAGUGACUCAUCAUGAUAGUCUCACCAGGAUUCGAGUAAUGAUAUUGGUACCCCGAAAGAAGGAAAAGUGUCUCCUUGCUUCCAUUGAGUGUCGGUGGAAGAUGAAUGACAUAGGAGUUUAGACGUAAACUCUGUGUCUCCCCAGCUGCUUGACAUAGGAAAAAGGACGAGUUAAUCUUAACAGCCUCUUAGCCACUCUUGCUUCAUCUUUGUUAUCCAACCAACAAGCUGAAUUACAUUAUAAUAAAGUCUGAAAUCUGAAUUCUUCAUCAAAAGUACAUAUACUUACUCAUACAGUCAUACUCAUUAUAUAUAAGCAUACCUGCAAGUAUCAUCAAACCGUAACAAAGGAUGAUUUUAAGGGUGACCGCGACUGAUUCAACCUUCCCCCAAGUAUCACCUUCUCUCUUUCUUUCAAUGCAAUCUCUACGUACCAAAUAUUUUGCUUCCCAUCAUACUUUUACUAAACCGACUCUGAUCAGUGCGAAAAAUCAGAAUUCUAGAUUCCUUGCGAAGCAAGUUAGCCGGAAAACCUUCUAAAACCAUCAAGGGUUUCCAAUGCGUCUCCUUUGGAUCAUGCACAACAUAUCAUCAAUCACACAAGACGGCUCUUGCCUCAGAUCACUCAACUUAUCUUAUCAUCUCCAUGAUUUCAAUUUAGUUUCUUUGGGUUUGUAAGCAUAAGAACAGAACAGUGACUAUCCCUCAAGUAAAUCUUCUCUUCCAUCACCACGUAUGUCUCAAACACAGUCGCAGAGGUAGGUUCGGACAAAAGGUUAGUCUUAUUGCUGCUAGGAGGAGAGGUCAAGACAAGCUGCUGCUUCAUCCGCCAAGGCCGACUAGGGUUGUUAAUUUAAACAUAAAGAAACAUCUGUUUCUUUUCUCGUUUGGACCUUGUUCUCAAAUUCUUAACAUUUUUAUGAUAAUCUUUGUCUCCUCUCUCUAAAAGUUUAUAGUAUACAUUGCAAAUUUUCAUCACAAGUUUGAUUAUUAUCCGAAUCUUGUUUACAGAUGAGUAAAUUCUGCAACCUUGUUCUGUUGUUUAUACGAGAACAAGGAAAGCACAUGAGGCCAUUUUUUGGAAAUCUUAAAGUGAAAACCAGAUUGAACCGCAAGCGUAACAUUUUCUGGUUAUGGAAAUCUUUAGUGAACCGGAGUAAACCCAGAUUCAGCUUAAGUAUUUAUUAAAUAGAAAAAGGUCACCAAAUCUCACCCAGCAAAGUGGUAGUGACUCAGCAUGAUAUGAGAGGCUCGCCAGGGUUCGAGUAACGAUAUUGGUACCCCCCCCGAAUGAGAAGAAGACUCAUGUCUCCUCUCGGUUUCCAUCAAGUGUUGGUGGAUGAUGAAAGAGUUUAAAAAUGUAAACUCCUUCAUGAAUUGGCUGGAAUGCAGUUGCAGCACAGCCUCCGGGACUGUCUAUCACUGAGAAUCGUGCCUUUGAUGAUAGCCGAAAUGAGGUAAUCAAAAUUACCUCUUUUUUUAUUUUUAUAUAU